rnacentral:misc_RNA from 1 species
AAAUUAUCAAAGCAAGUCUUUUGUUAACUCAAUUGACUGUCUGCUUUGGAUUUGGAGGUCUCUGCAGAUUAACACUCUGCUCCUCUUAAAUGCAUUAGCUGGAUCUCAGUAUAUGCUUGGUUCCACUCGGCGUGAUAAGUAUCACUCGCUGAGGACACUUUUUGUAAAAAAAAAGGUGGCCAGGAAAUACAGAUGAACCGCUUCUAACAGUCUAUUAAAUUAGACAAAUAAUUUUAAG